AUUGAACGCUGGCGGCAGGCCUAACACAUGCAAGUCGAGCGGAUGAAGGGAGCUUGCUCCUGGAUUCAGCGGCGGACGGGUGAGUAAUGCCUAGGAAUCUGCCUGGUAGUGGGGGAUAACGUCCGGAAACGGGCGCUAAUACCGCAUACGUCCUGAGGGAGAAAGUGGGGGAUCUUCGGACCUCACGCUAUCAGAUGAGCCUAGGUCGGAUUAGCUAGUUGGUGGGGUAAAGGCCCACCAAGGCGACGAUCCGUAACUGGUCUGAGAGGAGGAUCAGUCACACGGGAACUGAGACACGGUCCAGACGACUACGGGAGGCAGCAGUGGGGAAUAGUGGACAAUGGGCGAAAGCCUGAUCCAGCGAUGCCGCGUGUGUGAAGAAGGUCUUCGGAUUGUAAAGCACGUUAAGUUGGGAGGAAGGGCAGUAAGUUAAUACCUUGCUGGUUUGACGUUACCAACAGAAUAAGCACCGGCUAACUUCGUG
rnacentral:rRNA from 1 species